rnacentral:misc_RNA from 1 species
AACGCACGAGACCUGCGGACCUGCGGAAGGAUCAUUACAGGACUCGCAAGACUCCUACAACCCUGUGAACCUACUAUACGAACGUUGCUUCGGCGGGUGCGCCCCGGGGAUUCGUUCCCGCGGCGCGUCAGCCCGCCGGCAGCCUACAAAUUCUGUUUCUUUGCGUUGGCAUCUCGAGAAAAACAAAUAAGUUAAAACUUUCAGCAAUGGAUCUCU